CCAAAAGGCGCGAGGUGCAUCGCAGUGGGGGAAUCAGAUGCUCGCUAAAGGCAGGUGGUAGACAAAGCUUCUCGCACUGGCGACGAUCAAAAACAGCGGCUUCAAAGUGGAGGCCAAAAAAAGGUGAAACCGUUCCCCCUCGUUCUUGUUCUUCUGUAUAAAUAGCCCUGGAUCAUCAGGGAAUGACACUGCCACUGCCGCAGCGUGCCUGCAAGGGGAGCAUGACGGCAGCACAGCGGCUGCAAAAUUGGCGCCGGAGAAGACUCACUGGACGAUCCACGAACGAUUUUGCACGUAGCCCUUUGCUAGGACGCCGAAUUUUCCUUGGGAUCUCCGAUCCUCCUGUUUCUCGACGAUUCUGCUCGAUCUUUUGCCCCGGGUACACUCGACACUGCUCGGGACGCGGCAAAGGAUGAAACACACGGAGGCAUCCAUUUACAUUUCCAUUUAACAAAGGCGUGGUACACUCUACACUGCCCCCCGGACGACGCAAAGGAGAUCUCACGGAGGCACCCAUUUAACUUUCUUCUCCAUUGAAAAAUCGUGCAGCGGCAGCGCCCAUCCCUGCCACAUCCCAUCAUCAUCCCCUGAUCCACAC
rnacentral:lncRNA from 1 species